rnacentral:rRNA from 1 species
UACGUAGGGGGCAAGCGUUAUCCGGAUUUAUUGGGCGUAAAGCGAGCGCAGGUGGUUUAUUAAGUCUGGUGUAAAAGGCAGUGGCUCAACCAUUGUAUGCAUUGGAAACUGGUAGACUUGAGUGCAGGAGAGGAGAGUGGAAUUCCAUGUGUAGCGGUGGAAUGCGUAGAUAUAUGGAGGAACACCGGUGGCGAAAGCGGCUCUCUGGUCUGUAACUGACGCUGAGGCUCGAAAGCGUGGGUAGCGAACAGG